CGCGUGGGUCCUUGGUGCGUCUCCCAGCAUGAAAACUCCAGCUAUGGUGCAGCUCCACACAGGACGCUGCGUGUCAGCGCUGUGGCCUUCGCGGGACACAAUAAAUGGUCUAAAGUCCGGCACAUCAAAGGCCCCAAGGACAUGGAAAGGAGUCGAAUCUUCUCUAAACUCACUCUCAGUAUCCGCCUGGCGGUUAAAGGUGAGAGCCUGAAAGUCCUCACUGCUGGUCACUGAAGCCUUUUCGGUGCCGAAGGCUUCACUUAGGGCCGUUUUUUCUCCCCAGUUGUCAUCGUUGUCUUACCCAUAAAACCCUCAAAGCACUUACUUAUACUGGAUAUUCCUAUUUUCCUUCCAAAGACCAUUCAGAGACCUGCCCUUAGAAAGAUAGAAAUGACUCCAUCUAAGUCUAUGGUUAAAAAGUACUUCACAGAAAUAAACCUUAAGAAAGUGUGGCAGAAGCCAGAGACCUCGAACCAGACCAAAUGACUCAUUGCAAUGUCCAUUUGCAAGUGAAGCUGUUUGGACAAGAGGACAUCCAGUGUGACAACACAACACACCACAACUUCUGCUUCUACAUCAGAAAUGGGUUUUGUUUCGUUUAGGGGAGGGAGAUUGCAAGGGUGGUUUUUGGAGGGAUGGCAAGAUCAGUGGGACUGGGGUGCAUGAUGUGAAAUUCACAGAGAAUCUAUUUAAAAAGGUAAAUAUAUUUACCAAAUAAAAUGACUGAAAGG
rnacentral:lncRNA from 1 species